rnacentral:rRNA from 1 species
GACGAACGCUGGCGGCGUGCUUAACACAUGCAAGUCGAACGGAAAGGCCCUGCUUUUGUGGGGUGCUCGAGUGGCGAACGGGUGAGUAACACGUGAGUAACCUGCCCUUAACUUUGGGAUAACUUCAGGAAACUGGGGCUAAUACCGGAUAGGAGCUCCUGCUGCAUGGUGGGGGUUGGAAAGUUUCGGCGGUUGGGGAUGGACUCGCGGCUUAUCAGCUUGUUGGUGGGGUAGUGGCUUACCAAGGCUUUGACGGGUAGCCGGCCUGAGAGGGUGACCGGCCACAUUGGGACUGAGAUACGGCCCAGACUCCUACGGGAGGCAGCAGUGGGGAAUAUUGCACAAUGGGCGGAAGCCUGAUGCAGCAACGCCGCGUGCGGGAUGACGGCCUUCGGGUUGUAAACCGCUUUCGCCUGUGACGAAGCGUGAGUGACGGUAAUGGGUAAAGAAGCACCGGCUAACUACGUC